AUUGAACGCUGGCGGCAUGCCUUACACAUGCAAGUCGAACGGCAGCACGGGAGCAAUCCUGGUGGCGAGUGGCGAACGGGUGAGUAAUAUAUCGGAACGUGCCCGGUCGUGGGGAUAACGUAGCGAAAGCUACGCUAAUACCGCAUACGAUCUACGGAUGAAAGCGGGGGAUCGCAAGACCUCGCGCGAUUGGAGCGGCCGAUAUCAGAUUAGGUAGUUGGUGAGGUAAAGGCUCACCAAGCCGACGAUCUGUAGCUGGUCUGAGAGGACGACCAGCCACACUGGGACUGAGACACGGCCCAGACUCCUACGGGAGGCAGCAGUGGGAAUUUUGGACAAUGGGCGCAAGCCUGAUCCAGCAAUGCCGCGUGCAGGAUGAAGGCCUGGUGUAACUGCUUUUGUACGGUAACGAAACGGU
rnacentral:rRNA from 1 species